UUACAGAAAAGGGGGGGGGGAGGAGAGAAAGGAGGAAAAACCAUCCGAUCGCUCCUUUCUCUCCUCCCCCCCUCCUUUCUCCUUUCU
rnacentral:pre_miRNA from 1 species